rnacentral:tRNA from 1 species
GGAGAUGUAGCUCAUUGGUAGAGUGCUUGCCUACCAUGAAGGAAGCCUUGAGUUCAAUCCCCAGUACCA